AUGGCGUCCUCUCGCAUCCUCCUCCUAGCCGCGAUCCUCCUGGCUCUGGCUUCUGCCCAGGCGCGUGGCCAGAGCAUGCCGCCUUCACCGGCAACAGCCGCUCGCGGUGGCAAUUGCACGUUGAAUGGCGCAGUCAUGCUUGGAGUGUGUCUUAAACUUCAACAGGGCAGGACAAGCCCGGCCGACAAGAACAAGUGCUGCCAUCGGAUCUAG
rnacentral:rRNA from 1 species